rnacentral:lncRNA from 1 species
UUUAAGUUAAAAUUAUUCAAGCUUUCCAAAUUAAUAUAUAAAAUAAAUGGCGUUGCCAAAUACAAGAAAGGUGAAAGAUACCAAAGGCAUAUUCAAAAUUGGAAAAAUGGAGAAAACAAAAUGACAAUGACAUGUCUUAAAUCGAUAAAAAAAAAGAAGAGAAGACAAACAGUACACAAUACACAACAAAGAUAAUAUUAUCUUUUGAGCAUCACAAGUCCAAUUUAAAACAAUGGAUAAGCUCAUGUACUCUGAAUUAGUCAGACAAGAUCACAGCUGGGAUUACCUUCAUCACAUGCGCAACAUUUUUUUCUCAUUAAGAAUGAAAAUGAGUUUGACAGAAAUAAGUACAAACUUCAAACUUGUACGAAAGUUAUUUAUAGUUUCGGUAUAGUGAUAACAU